AACCAUAGAAACCUGCGGAGUACCUGCGGAAGGAUCAUUACAGAGUUGCAAAACUCCCACAAACCAUCGCGAAUCUUACCCGUACGGUUGCCUCGGCGCUGGCGGUCCGGAAGGCCCUCGGGCCCCCGGACCCUCGGGUCCCCCGCUCGCGGGGGGCUGCCCGCCGGAGUGCCGAAACCAAACUCUUGAUAUUUUAUGUCUCUCUGAGUAAACUUUUAAAUAAGUCAAAACUUUCAACAA
rnacentral:misc_RNA from 1 species